CGUCCACGUCAGUGUGACGUGGCGUGAAGAAGUCUGGCUUCAUCACGGUGAGAGCCCGGGGGUCGUCGGAGCGGACUUGGAAACAGCGCAGCCCGGGAGACUGAGGAGCACUUCUAGGAACAGGAAGAGGAGCCCCCAGAGGUAGCCUCAAGGAACGGGAGUGAUGCCCUUAGACGUCCACAAAAUGAGAACGGCAAAGUGGAGUCUUUUUGAUAGAGACUGCACAGUCUGCGAAGCCUGAAACAUAUCCCACAUGGCCCUUUAUAAAACCAAGCCCUGCUACACGUGGCCAAUCCAAUCCUGCCAUCUGCAGGCAAGAGCACCUGAGAUAGUGAUCCUCUGACCUUGCUCCACCAAGUGGAAGACACAAAAGACUCUAAAAGCCCAGGAGGAAGCUCCAUCUUUCCAGAGAUGGCUACCGGAAGAGUUAGGGCAGGCAGCGAGCAGAGGCUGGGCUGGCUAUCAGGACACACUUCAAGAUCACUAAGAAAUUAUUCUGUGUGCUGAACCAUAAAGUGAUAAGAAAGAAAAGAAAAGAAAAGAAAAGAAAAAAAAAAAACCAAAAACAACUCAGCAGCCUUGACAGAUCUACGGCUGAGAUGAUCUAUUUCCAACUGCCUCCAGCUGAGAAGCGGUUCCCAGGGCAGCACUGAGUAACUCAAAAACAUUCCCUCAUAAAAGGGAUUGUUCAAGGGGGCUUCAAGCAUUUAGUUCCUUAACACCCAGCCAGCUGUUUCCUAGAUUCACCCAGAACAUGGGCCUAGGCUCCAAAGUUUACCCCCAGACCUAGGAGCAGAACUACGAACUGAGCCAAGGUGGGUUGACAAAGUUUGUGCUCUUAAUCAUACAUUCUACUCCUUCCUGGCAAGCAGAUACCCGGGAUUAUGCGUUUACAUCCUACAGAUGCUGUUCAAUGAGGUCAUAGAUUUUCUGCCAAUGAUUUUCUAGCAGUUACUUGCAAGAGGACUGUAGGAAGAGAUCCCACCUAUCCACCCCUCUAUCCCAUGCCUCCUAAAGAAAAUUUUCCCAACUUUCAGAGAGAAUCCUUGCAUCUAUUCAGAUAUGUUAGAUCCCUAAGGAAAAAUUUCUAAAAUUCA